UACUUGCUGAAUAUCUAGUUAUUUUUUGAUCUUGAAUUUUCUAUUUCUUAAAAUAGAUCUUAUAAACAUUUUAUUUUCAUUUGUGUAUUCUAAAUUUCUAAGGUGUGGAACUAGAACCGAGAAAUCCUUACAUAUACAGGUAAGUUUGUUGCGGUUCUAUGUAAAAUAGGAAACAAGAGUCCGUGUUCUCUAUGUUCAAUCAGUGAAGGAUCGCAUAAUUUGAACAUUGAGUUGGAGGAAAAGGAAGAUGUUGUCUUGGAGGUUUUCGGCGGGAGAAAAGUGCAUCUGACUAGUUUCUAUUUUGGGCUUAAUGGUCGAUGUGGAAAUGAUUUGAUGGAAAUAGGCACAGGACUUCCAAAAGAGAUUUUAUAGAUUCGGGAAGAGGUGUGUCAGAGGUUGUACCAAAAGAUAAUAGAUUGUACAACUCUCGCUGAGGUACUUGUUCGGCUAGGAUUUUGGGUACCAGACGUCCUGAAAAGCAAAGAAUAGCUACAAUUGAUUACCAUGAGAGCAUUAUUUAUGUCGCAUCUUGAUAGAGCCAUCAACCACACACUGCUUGAACAAGUUGAAGCAUAUGAGAAAACGGUACUUAUUAAUAUGUGGCAGAAUGUCGAGCAUGGUACAGGAGAACAUCAUAAAACGAAAAUGGCUCCCGCGGAUGGCCCAUUGCUAGGAGGUAGAGUGCAUCAACAAAAAAAAAGGAAAUUUCCUUCUUGAUUGAUAAUCAUGUCGGCUUAACCAUAGAGGACUAUGAUGAGUUUCCUCCUUGAUUGUUUCUGUUGUUCUCUAUUCGUUCUAUAUCCGGCUAUGAAUUUUUCUUUCGUAUGCA